CUUCUCUGUAAAUGGAAAAUGACCAUGCCUCUGUGUUUCAGGCCAGUACUCAUAUUCAUACUGGUCAGCCAAAGUCAACCUUGACUGGUGACAAGAUCGGUGGCUGAUUGCCCAGGGCAGAUGAUACUGCACUCCCAGCCUCUGCUGGUGUGUGGGUGUGUGUUGGGGGGCUUCACACACUCCAAUUUCGAUGGAUGCAUCGAGUCUUCCCUGAAGUUGUUUCCAGAGGUCAGUGCGUCAGACAUGACCUCCUUGGUCAUAGGAUGAAAGCAAAGAGAUUCUGUCUGUAUUUUUGGAAUCUGCAUACAAUCACGACUUAUGUGGGACAAAAUUUUUCCCCAUUUGAAUGUCAAACAGCAGUGUGGGGAAAUGAUAAAAGCAGGUUAACAUUUCAUUUUGUCCUUUUUGUUAAAUGAAGAUCAAAUUAUUGUCAAUGCAUAAUAAAAAAAAAAUAAGAUAAUGCUUAGAAAAAAAUGUGGUUUGCUAGUUUUUUGCUAUUUUUCAAAUGUCCUACUAAAAUAUCCUGAAUCAUAAGUCACAUGUAAAUCAAGGUAAAUGUUACUUGUAAAUAGAAUAUUUGUAUUGUGCAAUGUGUUUUACAUUUCUCCAAUCUAGAUGUAUUUGUCAAACCAAAAAAUAAAAGUUAGACGAUCAUUAUGUAUUUAGGAUACAUCAGAUCCUAGCUAUGAAUAUAGUAAUUAGACAUUAAUUAUUGGACAAUGUUAGGAGACAAAUUUAAAACUAGCAUAACUGUACAAAUCUACAAGAAACAUCUUCUGAUGGGAUACAAAAGUAGCAGUGUAGUGAAAGAUUAAAGCCAUCGCUUCUCUGUUUUCUGUUAUAAUUUUCAUAGAUAAAAACUUUGAUGUCCCACCCACUCCAUGGGUUGUUGGAUUUCUCCAUCCUUGAUGACUUUAAUGAUCAGCGUUGUUUUCCCUCUCUGUGCCCUUGUUUAAUUUCCACUUCCUGCUUUAUUCUUGGCUUAAACCAAACGAAAGACAGCUGUGCGGCGGAGCGAGGGGGCAGGUUAUAUGAGAGUCCUGUUUUAACUGGUUGUGGGAACCAGAGUGUGCGGUGGUGUGUAGCACUAUCAAUGUAAGGAGGCAUGGCAGAGACAGCCUUGUUUCCGGCCUUCUGUAUUUCUGGCCAGGUAAAAACUCUCCGGCCCAGGCUGCAGGCUCUAGACCACAUCAAGUAUUGUUUGGCAAUUUAAAUAAUUACAAACUGCAAACUAUAUUAAAGCACAGCUCUAUAUAAACUACUAUAUAUAUACAUUUUUACCUGCAUACUUACAGUACUACAUACUCAUGUAAAGCAAUAUAUACUAUAAAGCAAAUCUCAAAUGCUUGAUUGCUUGUAUCAUUGCAAAAUAUAAAUGAUUAUAUAACCCAGCUCUAAUCUGCUACAUGUGACUACAAGACAUAAAUAUGUUAAGGUAUUGUAAACAUUAACAUCAUGAUUUUCUGUGAAGCUGCUUUGAAACUGUGUAAAGCGCGCUUUAAAAAAUAAAUUGUAAUUAUACCCUGUA